GGGUUUAGUAUUUGAGCAAAAGCUACAAACAUUCAUUACUCUGCGCUACAGCUACAGCCUACAGGCAGCAGAAAUGGAGUCUCUGCAGAUACGCCGACUUGAUGAAAUUCCGUCGCCGGAAGAAUUCGCCUCUCAGAUUGAACAGAAGAAUGUCCCCGCAGUCUUCAGUGGAUGCGCGAAGGAGUGGAAAGCAUUUUCGAAAUGGAAUGUAUCGAAUGGCGGUCUCGACUACUUGCAGGAAUUAGUGGGAUCGUCGGUUGUGGAAGCUAUGCUAUCCAGAUCUGCACCUGUAUUUUAUGGAGAUAUUCGAGGUCAUGAAAGGGUUCCUUUGCCAUUUUCUACCUUUAUUGGAUACUGCAAAGAUCUUUUACAAUGUGAGGAUGAUUGCCAAGACUCCAUAUCUCAAUUAAGAAAGCAUGAACCUACGGGAGAUGCUACACAACAAGUUGAUUUUGCCAUGGGAGAAGAAUCUCCGAAGCAAAUCUAUCUAGCACAGGUUUCCAUUGUAAAUACUGAAAAUGAGGAAAAGAGUCAGUUGGAAUGCCUUAGAGAUGACAUUGAAACGCCUGCAUUUCUGGACAGCAAAACUCUGGCUUCUGUAAAUUUGUGGAUGAACAAUGCCAAGAGCAGAUCUAGUACUCACUAUGAUCCACACCAUAAUCUUCUAUGCAUAAUUUCAGGAUGUAAACAAGUUGUUUUAUGGCCCCCUUCCGCAAGCCCCUUCUUAUAUCCGUUGCCUGUGUAUGGAGAAUCCUCGAACCACAGUGCCAUUCCUUUAGAAAACACCAAUUUUAGCCUCUAUCCCAGGGCAAAGUCAAUUGACAAGUACUCCCGGAAAGUUACCCUUCAUGCUGGAGAUGCAUUGUUCAUUCCUGAAGGAUGGUUCCACCAAGUGGAUAGUGAAGAUUUAACUAUAGCUGUCAAUUUCUGGUGGCAGUCCGACAUGAUGUCUAGCAUGCCAGAACACAUGGAUGCUUACUAUCUACGUAGAAUAUUGAAAAGGUUAACUGACAAAGAAAUGGAUCGAAUGCUAUCUAUGCCUUCGACUUCCAAGGUGAACCAUAUGAUUGGUGCAAGUGGCCAGUCUAGUAAUGUAAAUGCAGGAUGCUGUGAUGAAGAACUGAAUUUGAACCAUCAGGAAGUAGGUGGAAAAGAAAAGCUGGUGCCAGGGUUUUCAUUGCGUGAACUGGAACCACAUGAACUUAGAUCUCUUCAUGACCUCGUUUCAUCAGUCCAUGAAAAAAUCAACCGCCAACCAGCAGGCAACAUCCCAGCAGACCAGUCUGUUUGUAGAGAGGAAGAUGUGAAGAAAUUUGUUAAAGCAAAUUUAUAUGACUUAGAAGAUGAUCCAAUUGCAAAUACUGUUUGGAACCUAGAACCACAUGUCUUUCAAAUCGUCUUUCUUAACAUGGCACACAAUUUUCCAAGGACAUUGGAGGCUUUUGUAUUGCAUGCUCUCUCCCCUGUGGGAGUUGAAGUCCUUACCAGGAAAUUUGAGCAGAUGGAUCAAAGGAUUGCUCCAGAUGAGCGGAGUCAGUUUUACCAGAAAUUCUAUAGCGUGUUUGAUAACCAAUUCGCUGCCAUGGACGCUCUUUUGAAUGGGAAAGAGUCUUUUGCAUGCCAGGCAUUCAAUAAUGUGCUGGUCCAAUAUCUGGGAAUUAAUCUCAAUGGGCCAAAACCAUCGCUGCAGUAGGAAUCACUGACUAAUAAUGUUCAGACACUGUUGAUUAUUUAUAGUCUUGGCUUGAGAAACAUGCCAAAUUGGAAAGAGCGCAGUCUUGGUUUCAGAUUAUACAUCCUAUUAGCUCAAGAAUCGUUUGCUUUACACUUUAUCGACUUAUGUGAAUCCUGAAAGCUAUGGGAAUAUGAAUAUCUUGAAACAGUUGUUUUCUUCCUUGUGGGUGGAGCCAAAAACUGAUUGUAACAUAAUUUUGAAGUUGGGUUGAGAUAUAUAUUUACCUUGCUCUUUAUUCAUUGCCGCGGUGACACUCAAAUGUUAUGUGGACAAGAGGGAGUACUAUCCUGCAUGGGGAUUUGCAGAAGAUGGGAAAAGAUUAUAAAAGUAUAUGAAAGAAGGUUUGGUAAUUAUUUGCUUUGGAAGAAAGAAGAAAAGGAACAAAAGGUAGGCCUGUGGAGAUGAGAUUCCCUUAUGAAACAUGACAUAUGUAAGUUCUAGAGAGAGAGAGAGGGAAUAGAAUAGAAGCUUUAGUUUUGUCUGGUUGUGCUCCAUAGCAUAGCAAGAUAGAAAGAGAAUGCGUCCUUUCUCUAGUGAGGCAAAUGGUAUGUAUUGGUACCUUGACCUGCAACUUAUUACACCCUACUUUCUAAAAGCUUUGGAUAUACCAAAGUAGCUUAGCACUUAGCAGAUUUCUUUGAUAUAUAUUCUUUGGGUCCAUUCCAUAUGCUUAUUGCUUAUCUUUUCUUAAUCACGCCAUGCUCUUUGUAUAUUCCUCCUAAAGCUAAAGGAAUUAUUGAUA